rnacentral:rRNA from 1 species
AUGAACGCUGGCGGCGUGCCUAAUACAUGCAAGUCGAGCGAACGGACGAGAAGCUUGCUUCUCUGAUGUUAGCGGCGGACGGGUGAGUAACCCGUGGAUAACCUACCUAUAAGACUGGGAUAACUUCGGGAAACCGUAGCUAAUACCGGAUAAUAUUUUGAACCGCAUGGUUCAAAAGUGAAAGACGGUCUUGCUGUCACUUAUAGAUGGAUCCGCGCUGCAUUAGCUAGUUGGUAAGGUAACGGCUUACCAAGGCAACGAUGCAUAGCCGACCUGAGAGGGUGAUCGGCCACACUGGAACUGAGACACGGUCCAGACUCCUACGGGAGGCAGCAGUAGGGAAUCUUCCGCAAAGGGCGAAAGCCUGACGGAGCAACGCCGCGUGAGUGAUGAAGGUCUUCGGAUCGUAAAACUCUGUUAUUAGGGAAGAACAUAUGUGUAAGUAACUGUGCACAUCUUGACGGUACCUAAUCAGAAAGCCACGGCUAACUACGUG